UGGUAAGUCUGGUAUGCAUGGAAAUGUGACCGAAAUUCCGGACAACCCAGUAAAGGGCAAGGCAACAAGUCAUUAUUGUAAUUAUGUUAAUAGUCACCCAAACCGCCCACACAGCCACACACCCACACAGGACAUCCCGCAUAUAAAGAAAGGGAUGGAGAGUACGUGCCCCGAGAAAAUGAAACUGUGACAUCCAAGAGACUGGAUUCUAAACUGCUUGAUGGCCUGGUCAUAAGGCCGGAAGUCUGUCAAUUUGCGUAUAAUUUGUUUAUGAGCUUCGCACACACCCGACGCACACACGCAUCUACAAAAACGCCUCCAGAACGGAUACGGAAGCUGGAAAUCAGAGCAAGGAAACGUUUUGAUUUCAUUCAGCUAUCACCGUCUCUCGUACUCUCUAGGUACAAUUGUACUUUCAGAUAUUGGCAGAAGUGCAGCAACAAAUGAUGAGCAGCAAAGUCGACAAUGCGAUUUGCGUUCGUUGCUUUCUUAGCCGUUCUUUCGUUUUUUUUUUUUUGUAUUUUAUGCGCUCUUUUCAACUUCUUAGUAUGAAAAAACUAUUCAAGUCUAAUGGCACGAAAGAAAAUAAUGACGCACAAUACACUUCGACAGUUUAAGCGGAUUCACAUGAUUACAACCCAGUGGAGAAAGAAGAGAGUACAAAGAAGAGUGGCGAAACAGUGCAAUAGAGAAAACUGAGAACGAAGAACUGAGAAAGAAGAAGGAACAAGCAGCAACCAAGUGAUGGUGAUGACUAGGACUUUAAGCGGAGCUUUUAUGCGGACAUUUAUAACCAAUGAAAUCAGCUAUAAAAUACUUAAAGGGACCCCGCCUGCUCAACGGAGAAGGA